rnacentral:rRNA from 1 species
UGGGGAAUAUUGGACAAUGGGCGCAAGCCUGAUCCAGCCAUGCCGCGUGAGUGAUGAAGGCCCUAGGGUUGUAAAGCUCUUUCACCGGUGAAGAUAAUGACGGUAACCGGUGAAGAAGCCCCGGCUAACUUCGUGCCAGCAGCCGCGGUAAUACGAAGGGGGCUAGCGUUGUUCGGAUUUACUGGGCGUAAAGCGCACGUAGGCGGACUUUUAAGUCAGGGGUGAAAUCCCGGGGCUCAACCCCGGAACUGCCUUUGAUACUGGAAGUCUUGAGUAUGGUAGAGGUGAGUGGAAUUCCGAGUGUAGAGGUGAAAUUCGUAGAUAUUCGGAGGAAAACCAGUGGCGAAGGCUGCUCACUGGACCAUUACUGCCGCUGAGGUGCGAAAGCGUGGGGAGCAAACAGG